AUUGAACGCUGGCGGCAGGCCUAACACAUGCAAGUCGAACGAGAGGCGGACGGGUGAGUAAUGUCUGGGAAACUGCCCGAUGGAGGGGGAUAACUACUGGAAACGGUAGCUAAUACCGCAUACAAUCGGAUGUGCCCAGAUGGGAGUAGCUCGGAGGUGGGGUAACGGCUCACCGAGGCGACGAUCCCUAGCUGGUCUGAGAGGAUGCCCAGCCACACGGGAACUAGGACACGGUCCAGACUCCUACGGGAGGCAGCAGUGGGGAAUAUGGCAAAAUGGGCGCAAGCCUGAUGCAGCCAUGCCGCGUGUAUGAAGAAGGCCUUCGGGGUGUAAAGUACUUUCAGCGAGGAGGCGUUACUCGCAGAAGAAGCACCGGCUAACUCCGUGCCAGCAGCCGCGGUAAUAC
rnacentral:rRNA from 1 species